CCUACGGGGAGCUGCAGUAGGGAAUAUUGCUCAAUGGGGGAAACCCUGAAGCAGCAACGCCGCGUGGAGGAUGAAGGUUUUCGGAUUGUAAACUCCUUUUGUUAGAGAAGAUAAUGACGGUAUCUAACGAAUAAGCACCGGCUAACUCCGUGCCAGCAGCCGCGGUAAUACGGAGGGUGCAAGCGUUACUCGGAAUCACUGGGCGUAAAGCGCGCGUAGGCGGGAUAGCAAGUCAGAUGUGAAAUCCUAUGGCUUAACCAUAGAACUGCAUUUGAAACGGUUAUUCUAGAGUAUGGGAGAGGUAGGUGGAAUUCUUGGUGUAGGGGUAAAAUCCGUAGAGAUCAAGAGGAAUACUCAUUGCGAAGGCGACCUGCUAGAACAUAACUGACGCUGAUGCGCGAAAGCGUGGGGAGCAAACAGGAUUAGAUACCCGAGUAGUC
rnacentral:rRNA from 1 species